AUUGAACGCUGGCGGCAGGCCUAACACAUGCAAGUCGAGCGGAUGAAGGGAGCUUGCUCCUGGAUUCAGCGGCGGACGGGCGAGUAAUGCCUAGGAAUCUGCCUGGCAGCGGGGGAUAACGUCCGGAAACGGGCGCUAAUACCGCAUACGUCCUGAGGGAGAAAGUGUGGGAUCUUCGGACCUCACGCUAUCAGACGAGCCUAGGUCGGAUUAGCUAGUUGGUGGGGUAAAGGCCUACCAAGGCGACGAUCCGUAACUGGUCUGAGAGGAUGAUCAGUCACACUGGAACUGAGACACGGUCCAGACUCCUACGGGAGGCAGCAGUGGGGAAUAUUGGACAAUGGGCGAAAGCCUGAUCCAGCCAUGCCGCGUGUGUGAAGAAGGUCUUCGGAUUGUAAAGCACUUUAAGUUGGGAGGAAGGGCAGUAAGUUAAUACCUUGCUGUUUUGACGUUACCAACAGAAUAAGCACCGGCUAACUUCGUG
rnacentral:rRNA from 1 species